UGUGUGUAUAUAUGUGUGUGUGUAUAUAUAUAUAUGUAUGUAUAUAUAUAUAUAUAUAUAUUUGAGACAAAUUCACAAUACAAAACUUACUUUUUGCCCUUUAAAAAUUUUCCUGUGUAUUCACAAUCUUGUACAACCAGUAUAUGAUUCUGGAAUAUUUCCAUCACCAUCCCCAAAAACCUGGUACCUCCCAAUCCUCUCUCCUCUCAGCCCCUGGCAACCACUAAUCUGCUGUCUCUAUGGGCUUGCACAUUCUGGACAUUUCCUAUCAGUGGAAUCACACACUACGUGGCCUUUUGUGUUUGGACUCUUUCCCUUAGCAUAAUGUUCUCAAGGUUCAUCCAUG